rnacentral:lncRNA from 1 species
GAUUGAUGGAGCUUCCGGAAGUCUUGGCGGCUGUACCAGCGCUAAUGUUCCUCCUUUUCCUGAGGUGGAGUGGGCCGAAGAGGUGGUCAGGUUGGGAAAUUUAGUGAGAAGCCUGGGUGGGGUGUUGCUGCGGUAGCCAUGUUAUAACCUGGCAAAUGGGACGCAUGAUAGUGACGUAAUUGCUGGAGUAGCUCCUGAGUUUCCGCAGAUGAGCCGCGGGAAAGGAGACGAGGGGCGGUGGCCAGGCGGUUGCCCUGACAACGGGGAACCGACCGACUCUUCCCGGUAGGGAGAGGCGAUGGCGGAAUUACUCCUCUAAUGUCAAGCCUUUUUUACAUAGGGAGAAGGACACAACAGAUAGAUCAC